UUUGUAUUUCUCUUCUUUUCUGUGCAGUGCCAGGAUUUCCCUACCCUGCUGCAACUGCAGCUGCUGCGUACAGAGGUGCCCACCUAAGAGGCCGAGGUCGCACAGUGUACAACACGUUUCGUGCAGCAGCACCCCCCCUCCGAUUCCAGCCUACGGCGGUGUUGUAUACCAGGAUGGAUUUUAUGGUGCAGACAUUUAUGGUGGUUAUGCUGCCUACCGGUAUGCCCAGCCUGCCACUGCCACUGCAGCUGCCUACAGUGACAGGUAA